GAUGAACGCUGGCGGCGUGCCUAAUACAUGCAAGUCGAGCGAACAGACGAGGAGCUUGCUCCUUUGACGUUAGCGGCGGACGGGUGAGUAACACGUAGGUAACCUACCUAUAAGACUGGGAUAACUUCGGGAAACCGGAGCUAAUACCGGAUAAUAUUUCGAACCGCAUGGUUCGAUAGUUAAAGAUGGCUUUGCUAUCACUUAUAGAUGGACCUGCGCCGUAUUAGCUAGUUGGUAAGGUAACGGCUUACCAAGGCAACGAUACGUAGCCGACCUGAGAGGGUGAUCGGCCACACUGGAACUGAGACACGGUCCAGACUCCUACGGGAGGCAGCAGUAGGGAAUCUUCCGCAAAGGGCGAAAGCCUGACGGAGCAACGCCGCGUGAGUGAUGAAGGUCUUCGGAUCGUAAAACUCUGUUAUUAGGGAAGAACAAACGUGUAAGUAACUGUGCACGUCUUGACGGUACCUAAUCAGAAAGCCACGGCUAACUACGUG
rnacentral:rRNA from 1 species